UACGUAGGGGGCAAGCGUUGUCCGGAUUUAUUGGGCGUAAAGAGCGUGUAGGCGGCCAGAUAGGUCCGUUGUGAAAACUGGAGGCUUAACCUCCAGCUGUCGAUGGAAACCAUCUGGCUAGAGUCCGGAAGAGGAGAGUGGAAUUCCUGGUGUAGCGGUGAAAUGCGCAGAUAUCAGGAAGAACACCCGUGGCGAAGGCGGCUCUCUGGGACGGUACUGACGCUGAGAAGCGAAAGCAUGGGGAGCGAACAGG
rnacentral:rRNA from 1 species